GAAAUUACAAUCACAUGAUAUAAAACAUCUGUACACACUUAGUUUUACACUUAUAUGAUCAACAAACAACUGCAUAAUUCUAUCAGCCUGCAGUUCAUUCAUACCUAUUUCUUCUACCAGCACAAGGAGUUCCUUGACAAGAAUAUAACUACGCUAUAGAACAGGCAAGACCAUUACACUGUUACAGCAUCGACUUCUCCAUGCUAAGGGUAUCUUACCCCAUACAUCUUAGAGAGAACUUGGCUUAUUGUAUAUAUAAGAUCUUGAAAAAUACAAGUACGCUGUGAAUGCGAUAGUACUAAGUACAGCAAGAACCCAAUAAAAGUAAUCCAGAUGUGCCCGAUUCAAGUUGUCAGAAAACCAACUGGUCUGACCAUCUUUCCCAGUGAUGCUCUCAGUAACAGAGAUAAGGAAACUGCUCAAGAAGCUCCCUAUGCCAAAAAUGCUGAGGUAGAGAGAGAGACCUAUACUUUUCAACUCGACUGGCACCUGAUCGUAGAAGAACUCCUGCAGACCAACCAUGGUGAAUACAUCGGAAAUACCAAAUAGUAUAUACUGAGGUAUUAACCAGCAAAUGCUCAUGGGAACUGUUGCCUUUGGCAUGUCGACCAGACUGUGUUCUAAAGCAGUUUGGAGACGUUUCUUCUCGAUUAUAGCUGCAACCACCAUUGAAAGUAUAGACAAGAAAAUGCCAGUUCCAAUUCUUUGGAGCAUUGUUAUGCCUGAUGGUUUCCCAGUUAUAGCUCUUGCAACGGGAACCAAAAUACGGUCAUAUAUAGGAAUAAAAAUGACAACAGAGAGGCUAAUGAAAGAUUGUAAUGAGGCGGCUGGUACUUCAAAAUUUGAACCAAGAGAUCUGUCCAUAGUUGCACCUUGCUUGGUGAAUAAAGUAGAUGACUGUGAGAAAACAAUAGCAUAUACCAAACAUGUUGUCCAUAUUGGAAUCAACCUAAGAAUAGCCUUAGCCUCCUCGACCUCGCUGAUACUGCAAAUUUUUCCAUUUUCCUUGGAACCAUUGGGUGCAAGCAACGCUUUGUUGAGGAACUUGAAUUGUUCAGAACCUUCAUGAGGCAGGAUACCCUGAACUUCUUGUUCCACUGAUGAGGUGGUUGUUUGCCAAUUCCUAGCUGCAUUAAUGAACACAUUACCAAUUCUAAUAAAUGGGUUCUUGUCAUCACUGCUUUGGUGAAACCGAUAAGUGAAGCUACCAAGCAAGAAAACAACAAGUGCGAGACCCAUGACAAUACAGGGAAUUCCAAAUCCCAGACCCCAGCUAAGAUUAUCUUGAACGUAGUUCAAUAUAUAAAGAGUCAUGAACAACCCACCACACAUUCCAAAAUACCACCAAUUGAAGAAUGAGCUUUUAGCUUUACUUUCCUGUGGGUCUUGAGCAUCAAAUUGGUCUGCUCCAAAAGCUUGAACGCAAGGCUUGUGUCCUCCCUGUCCAAUAGCUACUAGAUACAAAGAAAAGAAGAAGAAAAUAAUUUGGAACGUGGGAGGAGAACAUGUUGCAGUAUCUUGGCACUCAGAAUGACUGUAAGGGAUGACAGUUGAAAGCGUCAAGAAGCCAAGUCCCAGGAUGUAGAGCACAGAGGAGAUAAUAAUAGUCCGAUACCGACCCAGAUAUGAGUCAGCAAUAAAUGCACCCAAAAGUGGAAGAAGCGAUGCCGUUCCACUCCAAAUAUUUACAUUCUCCGCUGCCGAUGCAACUGACUGGCCUAGUGGCCCCGUUAGGUAGCUUAUUAGGUUUGAAGCUAUCCCAUAAUAUGCAAAUCUCUCUGCAACCUCCACACCUAUGAUGAAAGAUGCGGAUCUCCAUCCACCGGAUUUGGAUCGGGUCACGGGACGACCCUUAUAGUCAACGGAGCCUUCAACGACGUUACCGAGAAACGGGGUCUCGGCGUCGGAGAUGGCGACUCCGUUGGCCAUGGGGACAGCCAAGUUUGAC
rnacentral:misc_RNA from 1 species